ensembl:misc_RNA
CAUUGUGGAUGCAGCCAUAAUCUGGAGUCAGAGUGACUGUGAUCUCU